UGAAGCAGUUGGCCACAUC
rnacentral:misc_RNA from 1 species